rnacentral:lncRNA from 1 species
AGCAAACUAUAACUGUUUUUGAAUUAUAACAUUGAUGUGUUUCAAAUAAUAUCUGGCAAACUUAUAAACACCUUUACUCCUUAUGUAUUAUGUUGAGCAUAAGGAAUGAUUUAUCAAUUACAACUAAAUGGAUUUUAGGUAAGAAAAUAACCAAACUAAUCAAAUUAUUAUGGGAAUAAUUUGGGGUUCUUUAACGUUUGUUUUAUAUCUAUAUAAAGUUAUUAGAUAAACUAUGUCUGAUUCAGUUUAUCUCUGUAUUAUUUGAAUGUAUUGCCAGAUAAUCUCAUUGUAUGUAUCUAUUUUCACUAUAUCAUGUUUCAUAAUCUUUGUAUGUUUAGUAUUGUAUGAGAACCCUAUGAAUAAUUUAGUACUAGUUUGUGAGAUAGUCACUACCCUUUAUGGAUGAUCAGUAAAUCCUCUCCGGAAGUGUAACCAGAGUCUCCUGGAGGGAGAGCGAGGAAUUUGUGAAUAGACCUAUUCGAGACUGUCAAUCCCACACCUUAACUGCUAACUACAGUUAGGCGGGCACGCCUGGGGUGACAAAUUCUAGAUAUCGUCCGACGUCUGACUAACGUCAAGGAGGUCUCGUUGUCGUAUCAGCAUGGUUACCCGACUCACAAUAUGUAUUAAUAUAAAUUUAUUCACAGAUGGGAUUUUGUUUAGAAUCUAUAUCUUAUUCGGGAUGAAAAUCCCAUGGUUUUGUAUCUAUAUCUCGUUCGGGAUGAUAAUCCCAUGGUUUUGUGUCUAUAACUUGUAUGUGAUGGUAAUCCCAUGAGUUUAUCCAACUAUCUUAUAUCAAAUUCGGGAUAGUGAUCCCAUGGUUUUAUCAAACAAUCUUAUAUCUGAUUCGGGAUAGUAGUCCCAUGGUUUUCAAUCUAUAUUUCCUAGUAUAUCAAACUAUCUUGUAACUUGUUCGGGAUGUUAGUCCCAAGGUUUUGAAAAUACUUUCUAUCUACAUUUCGUGUAUAUUAUAGUAUUCUUGUCUAAUUCAUGAUAGUAAUCCUAUGAUUUUCAAUAUAUAGUUUUGUGUAUUAAACUAUACUCUGUGUUAUUCAAUCAAUCUUGCAUUUAGGAAAAUAUGGGAUUUUCCUGGGGUUAACUUAUUAACGCGUAACUGAACUGUAUUGAAAGAUAACAAAACUAUUUAACAUAAGAAAAUAUGGGAUUUUCUUGGAUAACAAACCUUUUUGGAAAACUAAAGGAAAUCGAUACAUUUUCAUAAAACAAAACCGCUUAUGAACUCACCAGCUUUAUGCUGAUUUUCAAACUGCUUGUAUUCUCAGGUCCAAGUUAGAUAGGUACCCGAUGAUAUCUUUUGUUGAAGACGGAGUGCUCAGAAGACUCGUCUCGUUUUGUUCAUAUAAUAUAUGUAUAACUUUUGUACAAUUUACUUUUGAACCAAAUGUAAACUUUCAUAUAUAUGUAAUCUAAUGGUUGUUUACUGUGAUUACUAUGUACAUUGGAUUUGAUACACAACUUGGAGUCAACCCCGGAAACGUUUCCGCCUUUGGUUUUCGGGGUGUGACAGAUUGGUAUCAGAGCCCUUGUUUAUAGUGAACAGAGUAUACCAAACCUUACAUGGUAUAAAACUAUAAACAUUAAGGGGCCUAAGUGCUCUGAACUAAAAGUAUCCUACAAAAUAUAAGUAUUUUCAAAAGUAUUUAAGUAUGCCGAGCCGUCGAAAUCCGUAACUACAAGUAGAACAAAACAUAAGUAAAUGGGUGUUGUACGCUGCGGUUAAACCUGGGCAGUUAUGUAGUCGUGUCUAGGGUCAAUAUAGCCUGGCCAACUAUAUUCAUUCGAGACACGGCCAACAUAUGCUUGGGAGUGACUGUGGUAUGCGGCAUACCUAAAACUUACCCAAUAUCCCAAACAACAAAUCGUCGCUGCAGCGAACCAUGAAAUACUAUGGGAGUAUUUCUCGAGCCGAUCCUUUGUAGAAAUUCUUGUAUACGCGUUAUUCCUUGAUUAUUCCUCUAGCGAUAAAAUGUUCUAUCUUGAUAACUCCUUUCUACUUUAUCGCUUAGUAUGAUGCUAUAUUUGCCUUGAUGAGAUAUCUCCUGUCCCAUAUCUCUUGAUUCAAUUCAGAGGACUUAUGAUCCUCUCUUUCCUGAUCUUUUUAGAUCAAGAUGCCUCCAAGAAAGAGACCCAGCUCAAGGAACAACAACAAUCCUCCUCCGCCACCACCUGCUCCUCAACUUGAUCUUGCAUCACUUCAGACAGUUCUGACUGGUGCAAUGGUAGCAGCCAUGUCGCAAAUGAACUCUGGUAAUUUAGGAGGUGGUCCCCAACCCCAAAACCCAGAAGAUAGCCAGGGACACCAAAAAGGGGGUUCCUAUAAAGACUUCAUGAACGCGAAGCCCACAUCCUUUGAUGGCACAGGGGGUGUCAUUUCUUUAACCCGAUGGUUCGAGAAAAUUGAAUCAAUCUUUGAAAUAUGCGCCUGUUCGGAGUCUGAUAGAGUCAAGUUUGCCGCCUGCACCUUCCUAGACAAAGCCCUGACUUGGUGGAAUGGCCGGGUCAAAUCUUUAACUUUACCUGUAGCUAAUGCUAUGGGUUGGGAAGCUAUGAAGGAGCUUCUACUCGUAGAGUAUUGCCCUCGGGGCGAACUUCAGAAGCUAGAACACGAACUUUGGAACCUUAAGAUGAAGGGUUCCGACAUAGCCACUUAUACCUCAAGAUUCGAUGAUCUGGCGUUACUCUGUCCGGGAAUGGUUACCCCGGAGAGUAAAGAGAUUGAGAGGUUCAUCUGGGGGUUGACCCAGCCAACAAAAGGAAAUGUCUUGGCUGCAAAGCCAGACACAUAUGACAGUGCUAAGUGCCUUGCGAAAAUCUUGAUCGAUCACGAAGACAACUCGGAUGAGGAAGCUACUACCCCCGAGCCAGUCACCAGUGGAGGCGGAAGCAAAAAGAAAUCCUGGAACAAGCGGAAGGCCCAGAGUACGCAAGGGUCUUCUAAGAAAUAGCAAACAGUAGCAGUCCAUGCUGCUACUGCCCCUGUUGUUGUUUCAGCUGUUGGUUCCACAGCCCAAACUCCCGCCAGUGGAUACACUGGUACCCUUCCUUGGUGUAGUAAGUGCAACUACCACCACCACAUUCCUGGUCCAUGUCGCGAAAGGAUCUGUGAUAAUUGUGGCAAUAAGGGCCACCUUGCUCAAACCUGCAGAAAACCAGCCAAAUCAACGAACCAAUCAUCCGGAGCGGGAAUCAGUCCGGCUUGUUACAAUUGUGGUGAAGCUGGGCACUUCAAAAGGAAUUGCCCCAAGGCAGCUACGACCACCGAUCCCUCUGUCGCUGCAGGUAUACUUCUCUUUGAAAAUUGUUAUACCUGCAACUCUUUUUGAUUUUAGUACAAAAAGGGAAAAUUUUCAUCUAUCUAUUCGAACAUUUUCUAAACUCAAUCCUUCGUAUGUAAUCGAAAUGUAUACCGUCAAGACGACUAACUAGUGAGAUAGAGAACACUAACUUCGUACCUAUAGAUUAAAUCCUUAGUCCAGAGGACUACUCUGUUACAUUCGAUCUAAAAAGGGGAAACUUUUCACGAAAAUACUUUGUUGCUAUGCUUAACAUGAAAUGACCGAGUCUCAUUCAUUUUGUUAUCCUUGGUUUCGAAAGGGUCGCUCGUCUAGAUCUUUUCCUCGACCCUAUUCUUGUGACUUUCGGCAUCAAACCUUCGUAUCAUUCCAUGCCUUAGAACUCAAAAGUUUUUCCCGAUAUGAAUUACCACACAUCCCUCGUUUCUGUGAUCAUUGAGAAACGGGAAGUUAACAGCUCUUUCCUCUAAAUGUCUAUCCCGAAGGAUACCCGGGAGUUUUUUUCGAACGUCUAGUUUAGUCUCACAUCAGACCAUUCGAGAUCUUCGUAGAAAUCGAUUCUGCAAUCUUCAGGUUUCAGAUGCCUUUAGAGCUUGAUAACAUCUAUCCAGACCAUCAUAUCUCAAAUCCUUAGAAGCAUCUACCCAACGAAACCCUAGUGAUUCCUUGAGGAAACCGAAUUCGUCCAGGGUUGGAACUUCCAUGAGAGGACCGAUUGAUAUCAUAAAUUGAGAGAGAGUCAAGGUGCGAAACAAAGACACGUCCCGAUAAUGAGAAUUCGUUAGAACGCCCAGUAGAGACCAGAUUCCGCUUGAGAAAGUGAAGAUCCGAGGCAACAAAUCCAUUCGUGUCUCAUUCCAAUUCAUGAUCUGUAUCUUAUUCUUUGAAUUUCGGGAUGAAAUUCCGUCUAACGGGGGGAUAAUGUAACAACCCGAAGUUGUUCAUCGCCGAAAACCCAUUCUAACCAUAUAACUCGCCGUCUGUCGAAACGUUCCGAUUUCGUUUUUGGGUUUAGUUAGUUAAAUUUAUAUGUUUAUUUUAAUUCAAUGAGUGUCCAAACCAUUUAGAAACUCAUGAAUUUAGCCCAAAAAUAUUCUGCCGGGUGACGGAAACUUAAUCGGGUGCGACCUAAAGCCUCGUUUAAGGCCGGUAUCGGGUAGAAUUCCAUCUUUUCCAAGUUUUGGGAACUAUAUAAACGUGUUAAACCUUUCAUUUGAAGCUUUUUCCCUCUCUCCCUACUCUUUCUCUAACCUCUCUCCUAAAUCCAAAGUUUAAGGGUCCAAAACUCAAUUUUAAGGCCUUAAAUCCCUAAGGUACCUUCCUAACCUUAAUGUAUAGCAUAUUGGGCUUCUAAAUUAGGGAUUUAAUCAUGAUUUAAGACCUUGUAUAUGAUUUUACGGCCCUGGAAGGAGCUUAGGCCGUAAACUCAUAAUAAGUGGGUUUUUAAGCCAUAAAACCCUUCCUAAACACAAUUGGACUUUAGAUAUGGCUAAGUGACUUCAUGGAAUGGACUUAGAACAUUUAAAACAUGGAUUUUGAUGGAUUUGAAGGAGUUUACGGCCAAGGCACAUGCUUGGGCCGUAAACUCAUAUUUAUGGGGUUUUUGUGACCUUAAACCCUUCCAAAUCACUUAUAAGGCUUAGAUAUGAAUUUUAGGAUAAUGGUUUUAGCAUUUGGACACUUGAAACAUAAUUUUUGAGGGAUUAUUGUGAGUUUACGGCCAAGGUAAGUGCUUGGGUCGUAAACUCCUUGAAACAUGGUAUAAAUUCAUUUUAAGGUGUUAGAAAUGCCACUUUAACACCCCUAAAGCCUUAGAAUAAUUUUUAGAAGUGUUACAAACAAGUUUUUGGCUUUAAAACACAUGGAAUCACUCUAUAAGAGAGUUUACGGCCAUGAGGGGGGUCUCAUAGGCCGUAAACUCCAAAAACUCCUCAAAUGUCCCAUAAAAUCUCAUGUAAGGCCUUGAAAUAAUUUUAGCAAUCACAUGUGAUUUGUUUGGAAUCCAAAAACACAAUUUUUCAUGGGUUUAUAGGAGUUUACGGCCAUGAGUCCUAUGCUAGGCCAUAAACUCCCUUAAAUGUGUCUAUUUGGUGUUUAAUAAUUAUUCCAAGCCCUUACAACAAAGUCUAACAUUUAUCCCUAAGUGUUUCAAGCCAAAUUGUGCCAUAAAUCACCCCACCAUGACUUUACGACCGUAAACUCAUGGGGAGGGUGUCAUUAGGGCCGUAAAAUCCCUAAGGAGUAUUCUUUGGGAGUCCCAAUUCAAUAUCCUAGCUAUAUGUGUCCCCAAAUGUCACCCGGGUCCCUCCAAACACUUGCAUCGGGGUGUUUUCACGACUAGAAGAAAUUGUCCCUAUCAUAUAAUUAAUCUAAGUCCUAAUUAGAUACAAAUGUGUAUCUUUACAUUAUACUUAGGAACCUCGUGUGUUUGCAAGCCCCGGACCAACACUUAGCAUCCAAAUCGUCACAUUUCUCGUCCGGUGAGUUCAUACCCCUACGCCCUUUUCCGUGUUUUUCAAUGCUUUCAGGGGGGAAUACAAGCAAACUGUAACUAUUUUCAAAUCAUAACAUUGAUGNGGGGGAAUACAAGCAAACUAUAACUGUUUUUGAAUUAUAACAUUGAUGUGUUUCAAAUAAUAUCUGGCAAACUUAUAAACACCUUUACUCCUUAUGUAUUAUGUUCAGCAUAAGGAAUGAUUUACCAAUUACAACUAAAUGGAUUUUAGUUAAGAAAAUAACCAAACUAAUCAAAUUAUUAUGGGAAUAAUUUGGGGUUCUUUAACGUUUGUUUUAUAUCUAUAUAAAGUUAUUAGAUAAACUAUGUCUGAUU